rnacentral:rRNA from 1 species
AAGUCGUUGCGGUUAAAAGCCCGUAGUUGGAUUUCUGCCGAGGACGACCCGUCCGCCCUGUGGGUGAGCAUCUGGAUCGGCCUGGGCAUCUUCUUGGGGAACGUAGCUGCACUUGACUGUGUGGUGCGGUAUCCAGGACUUUUACCUUGGGGAAAUUAGAGUGUUUCAAGCAGGCGCACGCCUUGAAUACAUUAGCAUGGAAUAAUAAGAUAGGACCUCGGUUCUAUUUUGUUGGUUUCUAGAGCUGAGGUAAUGAUUAAUAGGGAUAGUUGGGGGCAUUCGUAUUUAACUGUCAGAGGUGAAAUUCUUGUAUUUGUUAAAGACGGACUACUGCGAAAGCAUUUGCCAAGGAUGUUUUCAUUGAUCAAGAAC